UUCACAUGGCGCAAUCUAGACAUAAGAGUUAUGCUAACCGGAAGGUUCGCGAUGUUGCUUACAUGGUAGGAGAAAAGGUACUACUCUGAUUUUCUCCUAAGAGGGGUGUUAUGAGGUUCGGGAAGAAGGGCAAUUUGAGCCCUCAGUAUAUUGGGCCUUUUGAAAUACUUAAAGAAUUAGAGAGGUGGCUUAUGAACUUGCAUUCCCGCCUAUCCUAUCGGGUGUUCAUCUAGUGUUCCAUGUAUCCAUGCUCCGGAAGUAUGUCGGAGACCCGUCUCCUGUAUUGGACUUCAGUACGGUUCAGUUGGAUGGUGAUUUGACUUAUGAUGUGGAGCGGGUGGCUAUUUUGAACCGGCAUGUUCGAAAGUUGAGGUCAAAGAAUAUAUCUUUAGUGAAAGUGCAGUGGAAAGGCCAGUCAGUCGGAGAAGCUACUUGAGAGACUAAGUGGGAGAUUAGGAGCAAAUAUCCACACCUAUUUGAGACUCCAGAUUCAAGUCAUUCGGGGGUCGACUCGCGAGGCAAUGGCUUAUUGGAAUAGAGAAUUUGUAUGGAUUGAGAUCUAGGUGCUUCUGGAUAAUCUACACGAACUUCUGGUUAAGUGCAUUGAGUUUUAAAAGUGGAUGAGAAAUGGCAAUUGAUAAUGAAAAUCCUUCUGCGACUGUUGCGGCAACAAAACAAACUGAUGAUCCACCGGCCGAGAAACCGGGGAAAUUUUCUGGAGCCAACUUCAAAGGAUGGCAGCAAAGGGUGUUUUUCUGGCUUACCACGCUUGGUAUGCAGAAGUUCACCAGUGAAGAACCUUCAGUGUCUGCCGCGGACAUACCAGACAACGAGAAAUUUAUGAUUGUUGAGGCAUGAAAAUAUGCUGAUUUUUUUGCAAAGGCUAUAUCCUAAGUGCUUUGGAGGAUGACUUGUACAGUGUCUACAGUGCUAUGAAUACGUCUAAAGUGUUAUAGGACGCACUUGAGAAGAAGUACAAGACUGAAGAUGCAUGCUUGAAGAAGUUUG